UACAGAGGGGGCAAGCGUUGUUCGGAAUUACUGGGCGUAAAGGGCGCGUAGGCGGCCUGCUAAGUCAUACGUGAAAUCCCAUGGCUCAACCAUGGAACUGCGUGUGAUACUGGCGGGCUUGAAUUCGGGAGAGGGAUGCGGAAUUCCAGGUGUAGCGGUGAAAUGCGUAGAUAUCUGGAGGAACACCGGUGGCGAAGGCGGCAUCCUGGACCGAGAUUGACGCUGAGGCGCGAAAGCCAGGGGAGCAAACGGGGAUUAGAAACCCC
rnacentral:rRNA from 1 species